UCCAUCUUGCAUUAUUCUCGAGCUCUCCUCAUUAGAGAUGUCUCGCCCUAAUAGCCGAAUCUUUCUAAAGAGAAUGGGAAGGCCUGGCUACAAAGUAAUCUGAUCUACUCCUAUGUAUGCCGCAAAUUAGUAGGUAAAAGCAACACUGGGCCAUUCCAUGAUUUGUCUCACACAGCUUCAACGCUCUUUCCAAUCACACCAAACAACCGAACCCACCUACCUCAAAAGCAUCC
rnacentral:lncRNA from 1 species